AUACGUAGGUGACAAGCGUUAUCCGGAUUUACUGGGCGUAAAGGGCGUGUAGGCGGUCUUGCAAGUCAGAAGUGAAAUUCCUGAGCUCAACUCGGGCGCUGCUUCUGAAACUGCAGGACUUGAGUGCUGGAGGGGAUAGCGGAAUUCCUAGUGGAGCGGUAAAAUGCGCAGAUAUUAGGAAGAACACCGGUGGCGAAGGCGGCUAUCUGGACAGUAACUGACGCUGAGGCGCGAAAGCGUGGGGAGCAAACAGGAUUAGAUACCCUGGUAGUCCACACCGUAAACGAUGAAUACUAGGUGUAGGGGGUAUCGACUCCCUCUGUGCCGCAGUUAACACAAUAAGUAUUCCGCCUGGGGAGUACGGCCGCAAGGUUGAAACUCAAAUGAAUUGACGGGG
rnacentral:rRNA from 1 species